rnacentral:rRNA from 1 species
GGGUAGUGGCGGCGGCUUACACAUGCAGUCGAGCGGAACGAUGGUAGCUUGCUACCAGGCGUCGAGCGGCGGACGGGUGAGUAAUACUUAGGAAUCUACCUAGUAGUGGGGGAUAGCUCGGGGAAACUCGAAUUAAUACCGCAUACGACCUACGGGAGAAAGGGGCAACUUGUUGCUCUCGCUAUUAGAUGAGCCUAAGUCGGAUUAGCUAGAUGGGGGGGUAAAGGCCUACCAUGGCGACGAUCUGUAGCUGGUCUGAGAGGAUGAUCAGCCACACCGGGACUGAAACACGGCCCGGACUCCUACGGGAGGCAGCAGUGGGGAAUAUUGGACAAUGGGGGAAACCCUGAUCCAGCCAUGCCGCGUGUGUGAAGAAGGCCUUUUGGUUGUAGAGCACUUUAAGCAGUGAAGAAGACUCCUCGGUUAAUACCCGUGGACGAUGACAUUAGCUGCAGAAUAAGCACCGGCUAACUCUGUGCCAGCAGCCGCGGUAAUACAGGGGGUGCAAGCGUUAAUCGGAAUUACUGGGCGUAAAGCGAGCGUAGGUGGCUUGAUAAGUCAGAUGUGAAAUCCCCGGGCUUAACCUGGGAACUGCAUCUGAAACUGUUAGGCUAGAGUAGGUGAGAGGAAGGUAGAAUUCCAGGUGCAGCGGUGAAAUGCGUAGAGAUCUGGAGGAAUACCGAUGGCGAAGGCAGCCUUCUGGCAUCAUACUGACACUGAGGCUCGAAAGCGUGGGUAGCAAACAGGAUUAGAUACCCUGGUAGUCCACGCCGUAAACGAUGUCUACUAGCCGUUGGGUCCCUUGAGGACUUAGUGACGCAGCUAACGCAAUAAGUAGACCGCCUGGGGAGUACGGCGCAAGGUUAAAACUCAAAUGGAUUGACGGGGGCCCGCACAAGCGGUGGAGCAUGUGGUUUAUUCGAUGCACGCGAGACUUACUGUCUUGACAUAUCUAGAAUCCUGCAGAGAUGCGGGAGUGCCUUCGGGAAUUAGAAUACAA